rnacentral:rRNA from 1 species
AAACCAAGAAAUUUAGUCAUUCUUUUACGGUAAAAAGACAGUUAGGCAAAUAUUAGUGAAAUUAUUGGAUCUUUAGUAAAGGAGUAAAAUCUAAAUACUAAAAGUUAUACCAGAUAUAAUUUAUUUAAGAUGUUGAAUCUGUGACAGCUUUAAGGGAAACUGGGAUUGGAUACCCCAUUAUUUUUAGUUAUAAAUUUAGUUUAAGUUUACCAGAGUACUACGAAUAAAAAGUUUAAAACUCAAAGGGCUUGGCGGUGUUUUAGACCUCUCAGGGGAACCUGUCUCAUAAUCGACAAUCCACGUUAAACCUAACCUUUUGUAGUAAUACAGCUUGUAUACCGUCGUCGUCAGGUAACUUCUUAAAAUAUAGUAGUUAGCUUGAUAAUUUGAUUAAUUAAAACGUCAGAUCAAGGUGCAGCUAAUGAAAAGGUGAGGAUGGGUUACAAUUACAUAUUUGUAAAUACGGAAAAAUGCUUGAAAUGAAGUAUCUUAAAGGAGGACUUGAAAGUAAUUUUGAUUAUAUAAGCAGAAUGAAUAAGGCUCUGAAACGUG